rnacentral:lncRNA from 1 species
GGGAGGGAGGGCAGGUGACGUCAGGACUGCAGUCCGGAGGAGAGCGACGGGAGAGGGCUGUGCGCUCCUUGCUAAGGAUGCUGGAGGCGCACUCGGGCAGCCACCGCUCCCGCGCUCCUCCCUGUCACGAUGCGCGCCCGCGGGGGAGCCUCGCCAACCUCCAGGUGACUUGAAAGUCGUCUCCCCAGGAGGACGGAGAGGGUGCUGCAGUCCUGGCAUGCACUAAAACUGCAAGUCCGACAGAAACAGCCCAGUCGAGGAGCGAGGCACACGGGGCGCAGUGCCCCAGCACAGCAUCCCAGGGCUGCUAAAGGUAGAAGAGGCUCAAGCUUGCAAUAAGAUCUCCGUGCUGGACCCGGACACAGGGCACUCUUGCCACCGAAAGACCCAUUUUUCCCUUCUUGCGCAUUUCGCAGUCGUAGCUGGCCUGGGGAAUGCGAGCAUGAUGGAGGCUUCCUUCGGGUCGCCCAGAAGCAGCUGCCAGUGGGAGAGCUAGCGGAGAGGAGCGGGGGCGGCAGCCUCGGCCGAAGUAAGUGCAGCAGAAGUUUGCGUCGCUUCCCCUGCCGCUCCCCUUGAGCGAGUGGGUAACACAUCUCCUCCCUCUGGCUCCCAGAAACCCGAAGGGAGACUUAUCAAGGAGUCUCUGAGCGGGAAAGCAAUCCUCUCCAGAGGAGUGCGACCAGCCCGCCCCCUAGUGGCGAACUUGAAGUUUUCCUUCCGUGACCUGGCUGUUGCAGAGCAGAUGUUUUUCAGCAGCUGGUUCUGGCCAGGCUCACUGCAGUCUGCAAGUAUCCAUAUAUGCAAGCACUCAUAUUCACAGAGCUGGCAGGUCCAACAAAGAAGGUCCAGAUCACAAGUAUGUGGUUGGUGA